rnacentral:misc_RNA from 1 species
UUUUGGCUAUGCGAGCAACUGUUUUGGAGUGUGUUGAACAGUGAUUUACAUGUACAUAAUCUGUGUGCGUCUAUUUUGCAAGUUGUUCUAACGCAGGCGUUACCAAGUACCAGUACUCAAACGCAGCAGCGAGCACAAUUUAACGUCUGUGAUUUUGCCGGCAGCCCUGUGAAGCAGCCCAUCAAAGUUUGGGGCCAGCGGGCCGUAGAGAUAGCAGUGAGUGACGGGGAUGAGGUGGACAUUGAAAACUUGGAGAUCGGCAUAUUCGGGUCACAAAAGAAAGCUACUUUCACCAAAAGUACUAAGAUACAGGUUACAUCAGUGUCAGAUGAAGGGGAACGGCAGGGAAUACUGAGAGGAUUUGACAUUGAAGGGUAUGUAGAGUAUAAUUGUAGUAGUAUUAGCAAAUGAAUUUGGUGUUGUAAACACACACACAUGACGUUUAGACAGAUAAUUAGUGGUCGAUACA